rnacentral:rRNA from 1 species
UGGCGGCGUGCUUAACACAUGCAAGUCGAACGAGGCUGAAUGAGAGCUGCUCUGAGACAGCCGAGUGGCGGACGGGUGAGUAACGCGUGAGCAACCUGUCUCACACAGGGGGAUAACGCAUCGAAAGAUGUGCUAAUACCGCAUGAGACCACGGAGGGGCAUCCUUCUGAGGUCAAAAGGAGCAAUCCGGUGUGAGGUGGGCUCGCGUCUGAUUAGAUAGUUGGUGAGGUAACGGCUCACCAAGUCAACGAUCAGUAGCCGACCUGAGAGGGUGAUCGGCCACAUUGGGACUGAGACACGGCCCAGACUCCUACGGGAGGCAGCAGGUGGGGAAUAUUGGGCAAUGGGCGACAAGCCUGACCCAGCAACGCCGCGUGAGGGAAGUAAGGUUUUCGGAUUCGUAAACCCCUGUCCUAUAUGAAGAGGAGUAGACGGUAGUAUAGGAGGAACGCCCGGCUAACUACGUGCCAGCAGCCGC